ACUGUGAGUAACAGCACCAGACAAGGUUACUGUCUCACUCAGUAACAGACAUACAGGACCAAUGUCACACUCAUAAACAGACAGGCAGGACUAAUGCCACACUCAGUAAACAGACAGACAGGACUAAUGCCACACUCAGUAAACAGACAGACAGUACUAAUGCCACACUCAUAAACAGACAGGCAGGACUAAUGCCACACUCAGUAACAGACAAACGAGACUACUGACACACUCAGUAAUGGAGAGACAGGACUAAUGCCACACUCAUAAACAGACAGACAGGACUAAUGCCACACUCAGUAACAGACACAGGACUAAUGCCACACACAUAAACAGACAGACAGGACUAAUGCCACAAUCAGUAAACAG